rnacentral:rRNA from 1 species
GACGAACGCUGGCGGCGUGCUUAACACAUGCAAGUCGAACGGUGAAAGCGGAGCUUGCUCCGCUGGAUCAGUGGCGAACGGGUGAGUAACACGUGGGCAACCUGCCCCUCACUUCGGGAUAACUCCGGGAAACCGGGGCUAAUACCGGAUAUGACCUCCUUGGGCAUCCUUGGAGGUGGAAAGUUUUUCGGUGAGGGAUGGGCCCGCGGCCUAUCAGCUUGUUGGUGAGGUGUGGCUCACCAAGGCGACGACGGGUAGCCGGCCUGAGAGGGCGACCGGCCACACUGGGACUGAGACACGGCACAGACUCCUACGGGAGGCAGCAGUGGGGAAUAUUGCGCAAUGGGCGAAAGCCUGACGCAGCAACGCCGCGUGCGGGAUGACGGCCUUCGGGUUGUAAACCGCUUUCAGCAGGGAAGAAGCCGCAAGGUGACGGUACCUGCAGAAGAAGCACCGGCUAACUACGUGCCAGCCGCCGCGGUAA